CAAUGAAGGUAGCAUGGUAUGGUGCACGGAAAUCGAAUUUCAGGUCUACUUGUCUGCCCCCUCUGAUGUCCCUUGUUGCGGCUUUGAUUUGGGGGCCUGGUUCCGACCCACAUUU
rnacentral:snoRNA from 11 species